ACCGGUUACUCUAUAUUAGUGAUUUGAGUUCUAGAAUGGUUCGAUAAUAUU
rnacentral:sRNA from 1 species